CCAUCUCCCCUCUCCUCUCUCCCUCUCCCCUCUCCCUCUUCAUGCUCACGCCCCUCUCUUCCCACCAACAAGCCUGUCGUCGGUGCCAUCCGUCAUCCGCACCACCGUUGUCGUUGCCGUCACCAUCUCGAAGGUAAGGUUCUUCGAACCUCUUUUUUUUUGUGUUGAUCGGGCCAUCAAGGGGCAGAGGGGGUUGCGAGGGGGAGGGG
rnacentral:lncRNA from 1 species